UCAAACUCUGUGAUGACACUGUACCUGGUGAGAUAAAAGCAGCAGAAGAAAUGGCAUUCUGAAAAGCAGCAGGUUACUGCUGGGCAGACACAACCUGUCCAUGGGGAUUUGGGUCAGAAGCAGAAUUUUAGGUAGUUCUAUGAAGGUCUAAACUCUGCUGUUCCUUACAGCCUGUGAACCUGUCUCUGAAAGCUCAUAACUCUCAGAGAGCUGCAGCUUCUCUCCAAAUGGUCUUUAAUUGGACUGCUACCAUGUUUGCUUGGUUGGAUAGUUUGAUCUGACUUUGUUCAAGGCCAUUAUAAUUUCUCCUGAUUCAUGCUCAGUUGGUGUUAUCAGAGUUUAGAAUUUUGUGUAAUUUCUCAAAUUGAUAGAUUAUGAAUAUAUGGGGCAGAAUGGCUGGAUCUCAGGACCUCAUCACACGACUGGUGAGUUUCUCAACUCCUCUAUUGCGUAUGUCUUGAUAUUUUUACCCAGGUUAACAAAUGGUAAUGACUUGCAUUUUAAACUGUUUUUCCUGUAAAUUCAGUUACUAAGGUCUCCCAAACUAAACUUGUAGUUUAACUGCAAAUGUCAUUGAGGUUUACUCCUUGAAUAUCUGCCUUUAUUCCUGAAUAUUUUAAGAAACUUUCUUGCUAUGUCUUUUGAAAACUAUUAACUUCCAAACUCAUGACUACCAAAACCACCUUUGGACAUGGAUUAAAAAUGUUAUUUUCCCCAAUUUCCUAAUCUAAAAUUUUCUCCAUUUUCCAAAUCCAGAAACCUAAAUUCACUCUAUCAAAAAUCUUACCCUCAAAUUUUACAUGGGUACCAGCUGACAACUGGUAGUAACACUACUGUAAAGUAAGUGUAACACUACUGUGUAGUAACUGAACACAAUAAAUGCUAUUGCCAAGUUUCUUUCCUCUUUUCUAUAAUUGUAUUUUUUUAAUAAUAGAAUUGAAGUAAACAACUUUCUAUCAGUUAUUUGGAUUUUUGAGCUAAAUGAGGUGAGGGGUACAUGACACUACCAGUGGUAUCAAAGUUCUGUGGUUCAGAUGGUUGUAUUUGCCACUAGGCAUUCACAUGUUAGGAGCACAGUCCCCAUUACAUAAUGUGAAAAGUGUUGUAAACAUUAAACCUACUGUGUGGUGUUUUUUGUCACUAAUUGUGCAUUAAUAGUUUAUAAAAAAUACUAACACAUCUCUCAGUUCUUUAUCCUCACAGAGAUCCCACUGCAUCUGUGUGGUGAUAUUGUGUUCCCCAAUAUAUUGUGUACCUUAAUAAACUUAUCUGGGAUCAGAGAGACAUAACAGGCCACAGCUAAUCUCACCUCACCAAUUCUUCAGCUGAUCUCGUUUCCUCAAACUGGAAGUCUCUGUGUCCUCAUCCGAAUGAAUCUCAGCUGAACUGCUGCUCAGAAGCCUAAAAGUUUUAAGGGGUUCUAGUUCCUGGUCCUCAAGCCUUAUAUACCUUUUUGUUCAUGGUACAAAUUCAUGAAAAAGCCACUUUCCUGUGGCCUUGUGGGCCCCAGCUCAGGCCCAAACUACACUUGGCCAGUUGUGGUGGUACAGGCCUGUAGGAUUUUCUAAAGGAGGCAGAGGCAGGAGGAUCCCGAGUUUGAGGCCAGCCUAGGAGGCUUGCUAAGGAGAAGCUGAGGCUGGGGCCCAGCCAAAACGGUAGUGGUGGGACCUGCUUCUCAUCCUGUUGGUGACUGCAGUGAUGCUGCUACCUGGGAUGAAGGGUUUACUGCUGCUUCUUCAGAGAAUGAUUGCCAGGACCAUCAUGUUACAAGAAAGCAUUGGCAAAGGUCAGUUUGGAAAAGUUUGGCAAGACAAAUGGUGGGGAGAAAUUGCUAUGAAGAUUUUCUCUUCUAGAGAAGAACGUUCAUGGUUCCAAGAGACAGACAUUUAUCAGUUUAUCAGACUGUGAUUGCUCCAAACCACAGAGGAGGCAAACAAACAAACAAACAAACAAAAAAUCUGCUGAGAACCAUGACCAUGCCUAACAGCAAUUUUUAAAUCUUCAAAAAGAUGACAGGAUCCCACAAUGAUGAUUCCACAUGGACUAUGGUAAAGCCAUUAAGCUGAUUAACACCAUGCAAAGAUUGACUUUGGACUACAAACUGCUUAGGACAAUUUUGAGAUGACUGGCUGAGAUGAUCCAGAUUCACAGACAACUCAAGCAAGGACUUGAGACAAGCCAUACAUUAUCCCAUUAUGCAGAGACUGGACAACAAAUGAUACAGCUACCUCUCCCAGGACAUGACAAUUAACCCAAAAUUUUUUUUCAGGAUUCCUGAAAGAUGUCUUUGGCACCCCCAGAAAGCAGGAAGUAAUUUUAAGAACAUGACGCCCACAUUCCCAAGAGGUAGGGUGGGUGUCUUUUGGUUGUUUAAUGAGUUAUGGAUAUUGUUAUUGUUUAUGAUGGUUGGUUACAAGUGGUUAAUUGUUAAUGGUCAGGAAAAAGGCUAAACAAAGUGAUUAGAUUCCAGCUUUUCAUUUAAAAAAAGGAAAGGAAAAGAAAAAAAAGAAUAGAUAUGAGGUAGAUCAUUGAAUCUACUCUGAAAAAAAAAAAGGGAAGAUAUAAAAAUGAUAAGAUAAAAGGUAGAUUAUUGAAUCUACUAUGAAGAGAAAAAAGAGAAUAUGGAUAUGAUAAGAUAAAAAGGGAGAUUAUUGAAUCUACUUUAAAAAAGGAACCAUUUGUUUUAAAUAGUAUAAGUAAUGAAAAAUUUUUAUCUGAAUUUGUCAAAUGAUAAUGGACUGGACAUUGUUAAUGUAUAUAAUGCAGUUUUUGUCUGAAUCUAUCAAAUGGUAAUAGACUAGACAUUGUUAAUGUAAUUCUUGACUGUAUAUAUUAUAUAUGCUUAUUGGGUACAGUUUUCUUGUAUUAGUUAUAAGCUAAUUUUAGACGAAAACGGGGAAAUGUGGUGAUAGUGUGUUCCCCGAAAUAUUGUGCACCUUAAUAAACUUAUCUGGGGUUAGAGAAUGGAAUAGCUGCUAGACAGAAGUAGGAGCCAGAAAAUGGUAGCACACACACACCUUUAAUCCUAGCAUUUUGGAGGCAGAGAUCCAUCCGGAUCUCUGUGAGUUCAAAGCCACACUGGAAGCAGUCAAGCAUGGUGACACAUGCCUUUAAUCCCAGGAAGUAGAAAGGUGUAUAAGGCAUGAGGACCAGGAACUAGAGCCUGUUAAGCUUUUAGGCUUCUGAGCAGCAGUUCAGCUGAGAUCCAUUCAGAUGAGGACUCAGAGGCUUCCAGUUUGAGGAAAUGAGAUCAGCUGAGGAAUUGGUGAGGUGAGGUUAGUUGUGGCCUGUUCUGUCUCUCUGAUCAUUCAGCAUUUGCCCAAAUACCUGGCUCCUGAUUUUGUUUUUUAUUAAUAAGACCUUUUAAGAUUCGUGCUACACAUCUGCCCCCACCCCCCAGUGCUGGGAUUGAAGGUAUGCACAACCACCUUCCAGCUAUUUUUAAAUCUUUAAUCUUGUUCAUAUGCUUUUGUACACUGGUUUAAUAAAAAGCUGUUUGGCCAGUAGCCAGGAAGGAAGUAUAGGUGGGAUAAGCAGAUAAGGAGAAUUCUGGGAACAGGAGGGCUGAGUCAGGAGAUGCCAGCCCACCAUCCAGGGAGCAGCAUGUAAUGUCCCACAGGUAAAACCAUGGAACAUGUGGCAACAUAUAGAUUAACAGAAAUGGGCUGAGUUUAAGUUUAAGAGCUAGUCAGUAGUAAGCCUGAGCUUAAGGCUGAAAAGUUUUAAAUAAUAUAAGCUUCUGUGUGUUUACUUGGGUCUGAAUGGCUGUGGACCAGGUGGAACAUAGGAAAACUUUCAGCUACAUCCAUCAUCAUUUUAAUUCCCAAGUAUUCCUUCUUAGUAUCUGUUUUUCUUUUACCCUAGAUGUCAUGUGUGACUUACAGGAGUAUGUUAGGUGUUAUAUGGCUAAAAAUAUCAAAAAGACAUUGGUGAUAGGAUUUGUAAAUUAAAGAAUUGUAUUUUACAGUGAUUUCUCUGUUUAAGGUGGUUCUUGUAGCAAUAAUAUCUUGAGAAAGUUACUUAACCACCCUAAUGCUGCACUUCUCCAUCUAAAAUGGGCAUGAUACUUUCUUAGCCAGUUAGUGUUAAAUUAAAACCAUCUAAUUGAUGUCAAACAUGUGACAUAGUACAGAUCAAUGAUGGAUGAAUGUAACUAGAGUUGAUGAUGAAGGUAGUGAAGUCCUUUCUUUAGUGUGAACAAGGGAAAUAUUUCUGCAAAGUAUUUUCAAUGUAUUUCCCUGUGUUUCAUUACUAACUCAUGGAUCCAUAAAAUAACUGUCUCAUAUUUAAUUUUACAUAAAAGCUCCUUGAAGAAAGAAUGUAUACCUUUUCAUUCAUCAUUUCAGUGACCAUUACACAAUACACUGUUUAUACCAAAUUAAUGCUCAGUAAAUAGUUUAUGAAUGAAUGACUCCUAACACAAAAUUUGCAAUUGUGUGCUAAGAUAUGUUUGUAGUCAGUUUUUGAUCCAUCCCUACAUUCACAUGCUAAUCUAAGGCUGUAGAGGCAUUGUUAAUGUAAAUAGAUUUUAGCAGCCCAAUAUGCUACAGAGCACAGGAGAGAUAACUCUGGGGCAGAAUUGCCUAAAGUCACAAAUGUCAAUGAAAAAUUUGUUUAACUCAAGGACAUAAUUUCUUUUCAUUCUUUAGGUAUACAAAAAAUGGAUUAAAAAUCAAGAUAACUCUACAUACUAAAGAAAAAUCAUUCUUUUAAACCUAAGUAUAGCCCACAGUGUACCUCUUCCCAAAAGACUUCCCUGGAAAAUCUGACUCAAAUAUAUUUCUUUUACUCCUUCCAUUCUCUGUUUAUUCUUUCUUUUCAUUUAUUAUUUAUUAUCUCUACAUUUAUUUUGCAUUAACCUGAAGCUUGUCAGCCAUUACAAAGGUGCCAGAUGGUAAGUCACAAACUCAAAAUAUAUUUUUCUCUCAUUGUUGUGGGGUCCACUCAAGUGCCUGCAUAUGGGCAGACUGAAUUGAUGGUCACCAAUGUAAGUAGACCACUUUCCCCCUCCAAUGAACAGUAUGCUGAGUCACCAUCUUUCCUACAGUAAAAGAAUAUUCACAGACACAGAGGAAGAUGUCCAUUUUCUAGUUUGUAUAGGGCUCAAACACUUGAGAGAGAGAAUAGGUACCUGGAGAGGCACACUUUCUUAACAUGGAAUAGAGAUUGGUUCAUUUCAUACUCUGUGGAGCUCAGGCAUGUAGAGGGAAAGACAAUGGUGGGGGGAAGAAAGGAAACUUUCCUUGGGUUCCUGUAAGAGCCAAUGUAGACAAAUUUCUAAACAGUCUUAUUAAAUAAGAACCACAGAGCCAAAUACAGGGGUGCAAGCUGUAGAGAUCAGAGCAAUAGCCGCCAACUAACCUUAGCUUACCACCUCGCUGUAGCUUCUCAAGAGAGCUUCUUCUUGUCUAACCUGCACCUUUAUUGCCUUUCUGUUCUGCCUUCUCAUUGGCUCUAAGCCCAGCCACAUCACUUUCUCAUCACUGCCUGUCUAUACAGACCUCCAGGUCUCUAUGGUUGGUACUGGGAUUAAAGGCAUGUGUCAUCAUGCUUGGCUGUGUCCUUGAAUACACAGAGACCUGCCUGCCAUGUGAUCAGAUUAAGGCAUGUGCUACCACUGCCUGACUUCUAUUUAUGGCUCUCUAUGACCUCUGAUCUCCAGGCAAACUUUAUUUAUUAACAUACAAAUAAAAUAUCACAUUUCAGCACAAAUAAAAUAUCGCCACAAGCCAAAGUUACAUUUUAAGUUUUAGUUACUAUGUCUAAGAGAUCCAUGAAACAAAAAUGCCUUUGAUCUGCAAGCCCAUUGACCAAGGACAGUUAGUUCCUGAAAUGCUGGAGGCUAUUGUUUAUGUAAGAUAACAAGCUCUGUGUUUUCACUUCCCUAAACAAGUUUGUUUGACCCAUAUGCACUGUGUGUGCUUGAUCACAUGUGGGUAGGAGGUACAUGGGCAGAAAAUAUGUCAGGAUGUACCCUUGCCCCUGAUUGGAUGUAGGCAGGAGGUAUGUGAGUAGGAACCAUAUCAGGAUGUAUGCUUGUCCCUGAUUGGACCUCAUGAAAAAUGUGGUGAAUUAUGGGUAUUUUCCUUCUUAAACCCCUGCAAAAUAUGACUUGGGACCAUUUCCUGGAAACAUGGGUAUGGGUCUGGACAGAGCCUAUCCACCUUGCUAGUAUUUAAUUAAAGCUUGCUUCAAAUUUGACUUUAAACUGUGGUAGUUGUCUUAUUCUCAACAGAUGGGAUUAACAUUUUCUGAGACCCCCACAGAGAGUUAGACCACCUACUCAAAUUCUAAAGCUGGACCUUUACUCUUGAACUCCAGGCUGAGGAACUACUUCAAGAGCAUGCUUCUAUAGAAGGUGUUGGAGGAAACAUGAAACAACUGUAUAUGGAGAUGUUUAGACAACUAUGCACUUACCAGAGUGAUAAUGGUGGAGUCAAAAGAAAAACGUUGUUGUAAUUCAGGAGAAUGAAGUUUAAGGAAUCUGAAGAACACUGAACAAAUGAGACAACUGAAGAAAAGGGACAAAUCAUCUAUCCCAGGAAGCAGAGAGAAAAGGUGUAUGGUUUUCUGCAGGAAAUCACGGCCAGGCCUAACAUCAACUGAAGUCUCCAGGAAGAUGAUGGGGCCCCACAACAACAACAAUUCCAUGUGGAAAAUAAUAAUAUCACUAAGCUAACAAACAUCAUCUACAGAUCAGCUUUGAACUACAAGGUGCUCAGAGAAAUUUUGAGAUGACUAGCUGAGAUGAUCCAGUCUCAAAGACUACUUGAACAAGAUAAACCCUGAACUUUGGCAUUAUACACAGACUGGAUAACGAAGGAUAUAGUUACCUUUCCUAGAAUUUGACAAUUAACCUAAAAUUUUUCUUUUCAGGAUAAAGAUACCUUCGCCCAUACCCAGCAGGAAGCAAUUUUAAGAAUACGAUGCCCCCAUUCCCAAUGAGGUGGUGUGGGGCAGGUGGUUUUUUUGGUCUUUUUAAUGGGUUUGGGGUCUGGGAUAAUUUUCAUUGUUUAGGGGGGUUGGUUACAAGUUGUUGUCAAGGGUUAGGAAAAAGGCUAAGCAAAGGAGAUUAGAUUUAGGGUUCUUGUUUAAAAAAAGAGAAAAAAAAGAAAAGAAAAAGACAAUUACUAGUUUUAAAUACUUUACAUUGGAUUGGAUUGUUUUAUAUUGGAUACAAAUUAUAUAUAUUGAAAUUGAUAUUGUUAGAAAAUGCUAUAUGUAUAUUUCUAAUUGUACUUAUACCAUUCAUUUAACAAUGCAAUUUUCUGAUCCUUGAAUGUUAUUAUUACCAACUAUUAGGAUAUAAAGAAAUGAAAGUAGUUAGACAUUACAAUAGAACUUGUAGUCAUAUUAGAUAUGUUUUAAAAAAUUGAGCAGAUAUAUUUUAGAGAGGUCAUCUUCAAACCCUUCAGAGAUCUACAGAAUAUGGCAUUUAAAAUGUUUUAAUAACUUUGAAAAUUUUUCUUUUAUGAGACAUGUCGGCUCCUGGCAGUACCAAUCCUCUUCAGAGAAAAUAUGGGCAUUGAAGAAACUGCAUAUGGAGUUUACUUUCAUUGUGGCAAAACUUAGCCACUGGACAACAAAGUAUCCUUGAAUCAACUGCUGACAAAAUGGACAGACAGGACAUGAAACAAAGGACUACUGAUUCUUUCCAAAACAAGUGUGGUUAUGGCUUUAUCAAAAGUCAUCUUCUGAGGCCAGGACAAUAUGGCACCAUCCCUGAAGUGGCCUUCUCAAUUUGGAAAAUGUACAGUGCCCUUUUCUUCGAAGGCAGCUGAAAAGGCAGUGGGACAAUGGCUUCUGAUGUGCUAUGGAACAGCAGCUGAAAUAGUUAUUCUUGAAGAGUAACUAAGCUCAUGCCUCUCAAAAGUAGACUGGCUUUUGAUAAAGGGAUGUGGAGAAGAACGGAAUGCUGAGAUGAAGCCAUAUAUACACAGCCAAGAACAAUGGACAGAUGAAUUCAAAAGACAUCAACAAUUUCCAGAAUUUAAAAUCCUGAAUCAUGACAUGACACUAGUGGAUUUCAGGUGUUUCUGGUACAUGGACUGCUCUCACCCAAUGUGAGGUUGAACUGUUGACCUUGUGUACAUCCUACUUCACAAAUGAGUCUGUCAGAUACACUAAGCCUAUAGGCUGAAGAUGAUGCCCCAACACUGCGGAGAAACCUCAGGUGACUGUCCAGGCAGCUGGGUGUUUCUGUCAACUCACAAAUUUUUUGGAAGUUGCUUGCAUGUACUUCCUGUUUUUAAUUUUAUUAGGUAAUAUUAUUUCCUUCUUGGGUCUCUGAGGGAGUUGAAGAUUAGUUAGUUAUAAUUGAAGGUUAGUUAGUUAUAGUUGAAGAUUAAUUAGGAUAGAAAGUGAAUUAGAUACAUUUUGGACUUAACAUAAUAGGAUAGAUAAUGAAAUUAUUUUCUCUGAAUUUGUCAAUUACAAAUGGAUCAGACAUUGUUUAGGUAUUUAUUACUUGCAUAUAUUGCUUAUAGUUAUUGUACUUUUGUAUAUAGUUUUUCUUUUGUUAGUUAUAACCUUUUUCUGUUUUUCUUUUUAUAAAAUAGAAAAGGGGAAAUAUGGUGGUAUUUUAUUUGUACUGAAAUGUGAUUUUAAUUGUAUGUUAAUAAAGUUGCCCAGGGGGUCAAAGCUAUUAGAGCCAUAGCAAGAGCGUGGCGGUGGUGGUGCACACCUUUAAUCCCAGCACUUGGUAGACAGAGCUAGGUAGAUCUCUGUGUGUAAAAGGAUACAGCCAGCAUUGGAGACACAUACCUUUAAUCUCAGUCCCAACCAUAGAAGACCUGGAAGUCUCUACAGACAGGCAGUGACGAGGCAGUCAUGUGUUUGGGUUUACAACCAAUGAGAAGGCAGAACAGAAAGACUAUAUAAAGACAAACACACAGAAAGUAGGUCCCUUUCAGAGAGCUCUCUUGGCUGAAGAGGAUCCCUGAGCAGGUAAGGCUCUUAGCUCUGACCUCUUGGCUUUCUUCUCUGAAUCGGCUCUGUGUUUCUUAUUUAAUAAGAUGGUUGGUUACAUCUACACACUAUACUGGAAAAAACAAAGAAAGGAGAAAUAGAACAGGAGCUGGAUGACAAAGUGAAGUUUGGAAACAGCCUGUGAGUCCUUGCACCCCUGGAAUCUUGCUAUCUUCCUUCAGUAAAGGAAGUAUGAGGCUAACUUUUCCUCCAUACUUUUCACUGUGAAUCCUGAUAUGCACUAGUUCUGUGGCAUGCUAAAAGGAUAUACUGGGGCUAGAGAUGACAGCUGGCAGAGUGCUUGUGUACCUUGCCUGAAGCUCUGGGAUUGCUCACCAUUACCACAUAAACUUGGUGUGGUACUGCCUAUCUGUAAUCUAAGCACUAGAAUGGUAGAGAUAGGAAGAUGAGAAGACCCAAAUCAUCCUUGGCUCUAUAUGGAGUUUGAUGUCAGCCUGGAGUACAUGAGACUCUAUUUAAGAAAAAGUAAAGAAAGAGAGAGAGAAAAAGAGAGAGAGAGGAAGGAAGAAAGGAAAGA